CCCUAUGGGGUGCACCAGGCAAUCACGACAUCAAUAGCGCUAAAUCGCAAAAAGUGUACAGCAAUUUAAUAUCAAAACCUGCUUACCAUUCUCUUUACAACGAAGAUACACAUUUUAUAGUGCUUUCCACCGAAACUCCAGGUGAAACAAGCAGAAUAACGGGAAAGCAGCUGGAAUGGCUUAAAGAAGAGCUUAAAAAAGACUCUUUAUUUAAAAUUGUAUUUCUUCAUAAACCACUUUUCCCUACAACCUUCGGCAAGGGUUACUGUCUUGACAGGCAUGCAUCAGACAGGGACGCCCUCCAUGAUUUGUUUGUGAAGAGCGGUGUAAAUAUUGUCUUUGCAGGUCAUGAACAUUUAUAUAACAAAAUAGAAAAAGACGGAAUUACAUACGUUACUACAGGCGGGGGGGC
rnacentral:rRNA from 1 species